UUCCAUAUUCUUCAGCUGGUGAUUGACAUAGAGGGCUACACACUCUUCUCAUGUCCCUACCUGUCUUUCCUAAAACUUAUUCGUUGCAGUGCUCCAGUCAUUGGAGCCAUGCUACCUUUUCUCCAUGAUCCCAGUGAUAUCAUAUCCACCCAGGGAAGCUGCAGGAAGGACGCUCACGUUGUACUCCCCAGAAUAGCAGCUGGUUUACAGAAUCCCAAGAUCACAGAAUGGAUGAUUUGAGGAAAAACAGAAUGCAGGAGGCAGGUGGGAAGAAAUCAAGAGCAGGAGAGCUGAAGUUGGCAUGAGCUGAUUCCUCACAUUUCUCAGCUCACAUGGAGGUAGCAGAGAACAUGCUGUGAGGAGA